CACUAGGAGAUAGGUGGUUACAGACAGACAGGUUGUGUAGUCUAGGACAGGUCAGUUCCACUAGGAGAUAGGUGGUUACAGACAGACAGGUUGUGUAGUCUAGGACAGGUCAGUUCCACUAGGAGAUAGGUGGUUCCAGACAGACAGGUCAGUUCCACUAGGAGAUAGGUGGUUACAGACAGACAGUGUAGUAGUAAAGACCACAGUCCUGGAGUCAGAUGUUAACUCCUGUCUCUAAAUGGUGGAGGAGGUUAGGGCCCCGUUAACCACAGUCCUGGAGUCAGAUGUUAACUCCUGUCUCUAAAUGGUGGAGGAGGUUAGGGCCCCGUUAACCACAGUCCUGGAGUCAGAUGUUAACUCCUGUCUCUAAAUGGUGGAGGUUAGGGCCCCGUUAACCACAGUCCUGGAGUCAGAUGUUAACUC